rnacentral:lncRNA from 1 species
UAAUUGUCGGAAAAAAAGUCACGUCCAUUCAACUUAACGUCUAAUAAUUGAAAAACUUGUUAUCCACUAUGAAAAUAUUCUCCCAAUCCUAUAAAAAUUAACAUGUAUUCAUUUGUCUGUUGUUGACUUUUCACUCUAUUCUGCAUAAGCAAAUCGUACCGUGCCAAUUAGAACUCUAUAUAUCAAUUAUUAAGUGCAAUCGAUGUUGGAUUAUUCCAAAAAAAAAUGUUCCAAAAUGUAUAACUGUCAAAUAACCUUAUGGAGAUGACUGUUGGCAACAAGAAUCAACAUCUAUCCAUUAGGCCAUAAAAAAUCAAGCUUAGUUCAAGGAAAGCCUCACCGAUUUCUAGACUCUAAAUUUGUAGCUUUCAUCCCCAAACAACUCGCCACUUGACUAUGUAAUAUAGGGCUACGUGGAGAGCAAGGCCUUCAAUGUCUCCUACCGCAAUGAUGAUUCCCUGAAGGCCUCCGUUGGGAAGGAGUGGACUGAUGUGUUCCAUUACUACGUCAUCAUGGGGUACAAGACCUUCAAAACUAGGCUGGAGGCCAUAUUGGCCGCAGUAGGAUGACAAUUUGAGCAAUAGUUUUUUUUUAUGUUAUAAUAACAAAAUACACCUGAUAGUAUGAACAAAUAAUUCUUGAUAAAAUUAAUUAAAAUCUUACUACCAAAAGUAGUACGAUUUGAUUACACGCACUGUAUUGCUUAUGUUUCAAAUUUGUUGCAUUCUAAACGUUAAAUUUUAAUUGACUGUUGUUAAGCUCUGAACAAUUAAUUAUCAAUUAUUAAAUGAAGAAAAGUCUUACAAUUAAACAUAAUUGCC